rnacentral:rRNA from 1 species
CGGACGGGUGAGUAACACGUGGGUAACCUGCCUGUAAGACUGGGAUAACUCCGGGAAACCGGAGCUAAUACCGGAUAGUUCCUUGAACCGCAUGGUUCAAGGAUGAAAGACGGUUUCGGCUGUCACUUACAGAUGGACCCGCGGCGCAUUAGCUAGUUGGUGGGGUAAUGGCUCACCAAGGCGACGAUGCGUAGCCGACCUGAGAGGGUGAUCGGCCACACUGGGACUGAGACACGGCCCAGACUCCUACGGGAGGCAGCAGUAGGGAAUCUUCCGCAAUGGACGAAAGUCUGACGGAGCAACGCCGCGUGAGUGAUGAAGGUUUUCGGAUCGUAAAGCUCUGUUGUUAGGGAAGAACAAGUGCGAGAGUAACUGCUCGCACCUUGACGGUACCUAACCAGAAAGCCACGGCUAACUACGUGCCAGCAGCCGCGGUAAUACGUAGGUGGCAAGCGUUGUCCGGAAUUAUUGGGCGUAAAGGGCUCGCAGGCGGUUUCUUAAGUCUGAUGUGAAAGCCCCCGGCUCAACCGGGGAGGGUCAUUGGAAACUGGGAAACUUGAGUGCAGAAGAGGAGAGUGGAAUUCCACGUGUAGCGGUGAAAUGCGUAGAGAUGUGGAGGAACACCAGUGGCGAAGGCGACUCUCUGGUCUGUAACUGACGCUGAGGAGCGAAAGCGUGGGGAGCGAACAGGAUUAGAUACCCUGGUAGUCCACGCCGUAAACGAUGAGUGCUAAGUGUUAGGGGGUUUCCGCCCCUUAGUGCUGCAGCUAACGCAUUAAGCACUCCGCCUGGGGAGUACGGUCGCAAGACUGAAACUCAAAGGAAUUGACGGGGGCCCGCACAAGCGGUGGAGCAUGUGGUUUAAUUCGAAGCAACGCGAAGAACCUUACCAGGUCUUGACAUCCUCUGACACCCCUAGAGAUAGGGCUUCCCCUUCGGGGGCAGAGUGACAGGUGGUGCAUGGUUGUCGUCAGCUCGUGUCGUGAGAUGUUGGGUUAAGUCCCGCAACGAGCGCAACCCUUGAUCUUAGUUGCCAGCAUUCAGUUGGGCACUCUAAGGUGACUGCCGGUGACAAACCGGAGGAAGGUGGGGAUGACGUCAAAUCAUCAUGCCCCUUAUGACCUGGGCUACACACGUGCUACAAUGGACAGAACAAAGGGCAGCGAGACCGCGAGGUUAAGCCAAUCCCACAAAUCUGUUCUCAGUUCGGAUCGCAGU